AUCCAAGGAAGGCAGCAGGCACGCAAAUUACCCACUCCCGGCACGGGGAGGUAGUGACAAAAAAUAACGAUACGGGACUCUAUUGAGGCCCCGUAAUCGGAAUGAGUACACUUUAAAUCCUUUAACAAGGAUCCAUUGGAGGGCAAGUCUGGUGCCAGCAGCCGCGGUAAUUCCAGCUCCAAUAGCGUAUAUUAANNNNNNNNNNNNNNNNNNNNNNNNNNCCGCGCUGUCGGUUCGCCGCCUGUCGGUGUAACUGGCAUGUCGCGGCAUGUCCUGUCGGUGGUGAACGGGAUAUCCGGUGNUGUUUAGGCUUAAUUGCCGAAGCAUGUACGUGUGUGUUUCCGUUCGCCGAUCUCUCCUACUCCGGUGCUCUUAAACGAGUGUCGAGGUAGGCCGACACGUUCACUUUGAACAAAUUAGAGUGCUUAAAGCAGGCUGAAAUAUCUGCCUGAAUAGUGGUGCAUGGAAUGAUAAAACAGGACCUCGGUUCUAUUUUGUUGGUUUUAGGAAUAUGAGGUAAUGAUCAAUGUGGACUGGCGGGGGCAUUCCUAUUGCAACUUCUUGGCAAAUGCUUUCGCNNNNNNNNNNUUGGACCGUCGCAAGACGCACUAGAGCGAAAGCAUUUGCCAAGUAUGUCUUAAUUGAUCAAGAACGAAAGUUAGAGGUUCGAAGGCGAUCAGAUACCGCCCUAGUUCUAACCAUAAACGAUGCCAGCCAGCGAUCCGCCGAUGUUCCUUUAAUGACUCGGCGGGGAGCUUCUACUCGGGAAACCAAAGCUUUUGGGUUCCGGGGGAAGUAUGGUUGCAAAGCUGAAACUUAAAGGAAUUGACGGAAGGGCACCACCAGGAGUGGAGCCUGCGGCUUAAUUUGACUCAACACGGGAAACCUCACCAGGCCAGGACAUUGGAAGGAUUGACAGAUUGAUAGCUCUUUCUUGAUUCAGUGGGUAGUGGUGCAUGGCCGUUCUUAGUUGGUGGAUCGAUUUGUCUGGUUAAU
rnacentral:rRNA from 1 species